GGGGAGGUGGCUGUCCUGUGACAAAGGAGUCUGACUUCCAGUGGGGGUAAACAGAAGUAGCAAACACCUUUUAAGAUGCAAAAUUUUAUGAUUAAACAAAUACCCCUGGUGAUGAGGGAUCAAGGUCCCCCACGGAACACAAGUAGAACAUGCCAUGGUGAAGGCUUGAACUUCAAUCAACCCAGUGGGGCUGAUUCAACCAGCAUGACGUAAGACCUCCAAGGGUCUGGAGUCUUGGGUCCUCACCUAUAGACUGGUGACAUUUUGGAGAGUGGCUUUUAACACUUCUGGACCUCAGUUUUUUUCAUCUAUAACAUGGGGUCAACACUAAAUGUCAGAAGACUCCACAGAAGAAAUUCCAGCUGAAAGCGGAACACUGGUGUAGCUACUUAAUAUCUUGAACAUCUUUUGGUGACUUAAGGGUCAGAACACAGAUCAAGAGUUACAGUCCUGUUUACUGGACAGUGACAGAGAGCAUCGAGGUGGUCAGCAUCUGGACAAACCAUUUGGGUGUCGCCAGCUGUUUUUAAAUCUGUCUCAAACUCUCCCUGAGUUUAAAGGACAACAAGAUCAGCUUCUCCCUCUUCCUCCGUAUGUGGCAUGCUUGCUCUGGAGAGCGGGCACACGGACUCUUAUUGGCAACUACAGACAAAACAGAACAAGCCUCCUGAAAGCCAGAAAGUUUUCCUUACUUGCUUGGCAUCACAACUUGACUUGAACCAGCAUGAGACCAUUUGUUUACUGCCUUUAGAGUAAAUGUUUACACAUUUCACUGCAAAA